rnacentral:rRNA from 2 species
ACGGGUGAGUAACACGUGAGUAACCUGCCCUUGACUUUGGGAUAACUUCAGGAAACUGGGGCUAAUACCGGAUAGGAGCUCCUGCUGCAUGGUGGGGGUUGGAAAGUUUCGGCGGUUGGGGAUGGACUCGCGGCUUAUCAGCUUGUUGGUGGGGUAGUGGCUUACCAAGGCUUUGACGGGUAGCCGGCCUGAGAGGGUGACCGGCCACAUUGGGACUGAGAUACGGCCCAGACUCCUACGGGAGGCAGCAGUGGGGAAUAUUGCACAAUGGGCGGAAGCCUGAUGCAGCAACGCCGCGUGCGGGAUGACGGCCUUCGGGUUGUAAACCGCUUUCGCCUGUGACGAAGCGUGAGUGACGGUAAUGGGUAAAGAAGCACCGGCUAACUACGUGCCAGCAGCCGCGGUGAUACGUAGGGUGCGAGCGUUGUCCGGAUUUAUUGGGCGUAAAGGGCUCGUAGGUGGUUGAUCGCGUCGGAAGUGUAAUCUUGGGGCUUAACCCUGAGCGUGCUUUCGAUACGGGUUGACUUGAGGAAGGUAGGGGAGAAUGGAAUUCCUGGUGGAGCGGUGGAAUGCGCAGA